AGUGAACGCUGGCGGUAGGCCUAACACAUGCAAGUCGAACGGCAGCACAGUAAGAGCUUGCUCUUACGGGUGGCGAGUGGCGGACGGGUGAGGAAUACAUCGGACUCUACUUUUUCGUGGGGGAUAACGUAGGGAAACUUACGCUAAUACCGCAUACGACCUACGGGUGAAAGCAGUGGAUCUUCUGACCUUGCGCGAUUGAAUGAGCCGAUGUCGGAUUAGCUAGUUGGCGGGGUAAAGGCCCACCAAGGCGACGAUCCGUAGCUGGUCUGAGAGGAUGAUCAGCGACACUGGAACGGAGACACGGACAAGAGGACUACGAGAGGGAGCAGUGGGGAAUACUGGACAAUGGGCGCAAGCAUGAUCCAGCCAGACCGCGUGGGUGAAGAAGGCCUUCGGGUUGGAAAGACCGUUUGUUGGGAAAGAAAAGCAGCAGGUUAAGACCACGCUGUUCUGACGGUACCCAAAGAAUAAGCACCGGCUAACUUCGUG
rnacentral:rRNA from 1 species